rnacentral:rRNA from 1 species
AUACAGAGGGUGCGAGCGUUAAUCGGAAUUACUGGGCGUAAAGCGCGCGUAGGCGGUUUGUUAAGUCGGAUGUGAAAUCCCCGGGCUCAACCUGGGAACUGCAUUCGAAACUGGCAGGCUAGAGUAUGGUAGAGGAAAGUGGAAUUCCAGGUGUAGCGGUGAAAUGCAUAGAUAUCUGGAGGAACAUCAGUGGCGAAGGCGGCUUUCUGGAUCAAUACUGACGCUGAGGUGCGAAAGCGUGGGGAGCAAACAGGAUUAGAAACCCCAGUAGUCC